rnacentral:rRNA from 1 species
UACGGGGGGAGCAAGCGUUGUUCGGAUUUACUGGGCGUAAAGAGCGCGCAGGCGGUCGAUCAAGUCGAGUGUGAAAGCCCCCGGCUCAACUGGGGAGGGUCAUUCGAUACUGAUCGACUCGAAGGCAGGAGAGGGUAGUGGAAUUCUCGGUGUAGCAGUGAAAUGCGUAGAUAUCGAGAGGAACACCAGUGGCGAAGGCGAGUCCCUGGACAACUCCUGACGCUGAGGCACGAAAGCUAGGGGAGCAAACAGG